UUUUUUUUUGGUUUUUGGCAAAACCUUGCUCCGUUUAG
rnacentral:sRNA from 1 species